rnacentral:rRNA from 1 species
AUGAGGCAUUUCAUAAUAACAAACUGUGAGGAAACCGCGCCAUGGAUUGAUGAACAUCUUGAGGAGCUCAGAAGGAAUAAUUCUCCUAAUCCUAAAAAGCAACACAAGGAAGAGUUUGUUGGUUGGUUUGAGAGACGGAUCACAGAACUCCACAAUGAUGGGAAGGUCAACAAUCUUAUUUAUGCACUAGCUAAAGGACCUGAUCACCUAGCUCGGGUAUACAACCGUACAGUUCUGAAUGGAUAUUUCUUUCGGAAUUCCUAUAUAGAGCAAGACUUGAGUACCCAAAAUAGUGGCGCCAUAGUCAAGGGUGAUGCAAACACAGGAAAUAUUGAUUAUUACGGGGUUAUCAAGAAAAUCAUAUUUCUUGACUUUCCUCCUGAUAAGGAGGUUGUUCUAUUCCAGUGUGACUGGUUUGAUGUGCCUCCUGCCAAAAGAACUGAGAGUAAGGGGUAUAAGAAGGACAAAUAUGGAAUUAUUGACAUUGACACUACUCUACACCAAUUCCAGGGAGACCCUUACAUUCUAGGCCUCCAAGCUCAACAGGUUUUCUAUGUGAGAGAUGUGAAGAACCCUGAUUGGGCAGCUGUUAUUAAAAUGAAUCCACGAAAUUUGUUUGCUCCUUCUGUUUUAAAUGGUGUAGGCCUUGAUGAAGCUGUUGAAGCCGAUGAGGGUGGUGAGGCAGAUGUACUGGAUGUCGUCGAUGCAGAAAUUAUAGUGCCAAAAAUUACAGUACCUGAAGAGAUCACUAGUUGGUGUAGAAAUGAUGACGAAGGAUCCAGCAUUGAAGUUUCAGUCAUAGAAAAUAUAAAACCUAUUGAGUUUGAAGAUGUCCAAUUCGAAUCUGAUGAUGAUACGGAUGAUGAUGAGGCUUACGUAAAUGAUGGCCAUGUUGCUCCUUUGGGACAAGAAGAAUUGGAUGAUGACCAGGGGUUCUUUAUAUAG